rnacentral:rRNA from 1 species
UACAGAGGGGGCAAGCGUUGUUCGGAAUUACUGGGCGUAAAGGGCGCGUAGGCGGCCUGUUAAGUCGAACGUGAAAUCCCCGGGCUCAACCCGGGAACUGCGUCCGAUACUGGCAGGCUUGAAUCCGGGAGAGGGAUGCGGAAUUCCAGGUGUAGCGGUGAAAUGCGUAGAUAUCUGGAGGAACACCGGUGGCGGAAGGCG